rnacentral:misc_RNA from 1 species
AAGGAUCAUUACAGUGUUAGGCUUCGGCCUCAUUCACACCCCUUGUUGAACCUCUGGUUUCUUUGGCGAUGUCAUGGACUCGUCAAACUUUAACUCUGGUAAUGUGAUAUUGUCCGAGUGCCAUUGAAUUCUAAAAACUUUCAACAACGGAUCUCUUGGUUCCA